CUAGUUUGAAUCAUUUCUUCGGGGGUCUUCCUUGAUGCCCUGUGCUGCUCCUAGAGCCUGGGUCAGGUUGUGGGUUGUUGUGUGUGCAUCAUAAGUUGGUCCUGGGCCCCUGGGCAUCUGGGCAGAGCCAUUGCAUAGCCAGCAGUGUCUUGUGCCCAUCAAGGGCCCUUGGUAGACAGGGAAAGUGGCAGUGGGUAGAGGCUGGCCUCUGGGUAGGGUGUCGGAGAGGCUGUGGGCUGGCUCAGGGGCGGGAUGUGAAGGGGGUAUGCAGGGGGCCUGGCAUCCGCUGUGGCGGGCUGCAGUAGACGAGACCCCCCCAGCUCCCAGUUCAGAUGGUGACAUGUUAGGGGUAUCCUGGGGGUGCAUGUGGCCUGGACUGGGCAUGGGCACCUGGGAUGGUCUGGAUUCUCAGGGAGCUGUUCUGAAGAGUGGUCGCCUGCAGGGCCAUCUCCCCUUGGGGCUGCCUGUGCCUGGGGAGUUGGGGGUGGAGGCGUCCAUAGCAGGCCGUGGCUCUGUCUCCUGUGCCCUCCAGGCUUCAGUCAUGGGGAUGCAGGUGGGCACUCCUGCAUCAGUCAUGGGGAUGCAUGGCCGCGGCCCCCAGUGGGCUCCCUUCUGGCAACUGCCCCACUUUCUAGCCUUCUGCUGCCCCCCACUUUCAGAUAGGCUGGCUCUGUGUGUUGGGUUCCUUCAGGAAAGACUGGACCCCCUGGGCCUUGUGCCCUGAUGUCUGACCCUGGGCUUCUGACUUCAUGGCUGGGGUCAGAAUCAAGGGGAUCAGGGUUGGGCUUGAGUAUAGCCCUGGGAUACAGCUGGGGCCUGCUUUGCCAGCUCUGCUUCUCUGCAUUUCUGGAGGUGGGGGUCUGUGUGCUAAGUGGUCUUGAACACGGCUCAGGAGCUCCUUGUGGAGAUGGCCUUACGGUCAGGGAGCAGGCUGCCCAUUCCUGUUUAGGAUGGUCAUGGUUUUAAGUGAAUAUGGGGCAUUUUCAAAGAGGUUUGAAUAAAACUCAGGUGCCGUGGUACUUCUCUAAGCCUAGUUCUCCAACCCCAGACUGUCCCUGUGUUGUCUGAAGCAGACCCCUCAGGUUGGUGAGCAGGGUGCUCUGUGGCCAAGGGCUGGGUGGGCCGGCCUUUGCAAUCAUCCCACCAUCUUCACGAGCUUCUCUCUCCUCAGUCACGCCGAUGAUGGAGCUGAAGCCCAACGCAGGUAGCGACCGUGCCUGGGUCUGGAACACCCACGCUGACUUCGCCGAUGAGUGCCCCAAACCAGAGCUGCUGGCCAUCCGCUUCCUGAAUGCUGAGAAUGCACAGAAAUUCAAAACAAAGUUUGAAGAAUGCAGGAAAGAGAUCGAAGAGAGAGAAAAGAAAGGUGACGUGGUGCCAUGGGUUGGGGGGCUUCUUUGCAGACUCACUCUGCACCUGACUGUACUUCCAGGCGGGUGCUUUUUCUGUCUGCCAGAUAAACAUUCCAGGGUGCUGUGGCCGCCUCACCUAUCCAGGGCGAUGCAGCUCCCUGGGGACACAGGUGCUUCUUGGGGAGCCCUGAGCACUUGUCAGUGUUGCUGGCCUCAGUCCAAUUGGGCAGGCAUUGGAGUCUGGGCACUGCCUGGAGCUCACCAGAAGGUGCUUUAUGAUGGUCCUCGGUUUGUCUCAGAGGGCUUGGUCACCUCUGCCAUGAGGCUGGACUGCAGCUGUGGUGGCAAGUGACCAGAUGUCACUGAGCAGCCUCUGACCAUGGUCUAGGCAGUGCUUGACUGCAUCCACUUGGCUUCCUUUCGUCAUUGAAUUUCAAGAAGACAGACUCCAGGAGGUGGCUUGGCCAGGCAGGAGUCUGUCCUGAGGGCGGGCAAGCCGCUGUGGGUGGGUGACGGCACUUGGGACCGGCCUGGCGAGGGCCAUGUGUUUGAAUGCACCGUGCUUCUGUUUUCUCACUGUGCUGCUUGUGUUUUUAGCAGGAUCAGGCAAAAACGAUCAUGCUGAAAAAGUGGCGGAAAAGCUAGAAGCUCUCUCGGUGAAGGAGGAGACCAAGGAGGAUGCUGAGGAGAAGCAAUAAAUCGUCUUAUUUUAUUUUCUUUUCCUCUCUUUCCUUUCCUUUUUUUAAAAAAAUUUUACCCUGCCCCUCUUUUUCGGUUUGUUUUUAUUCUUUCAUUUUUACAAGGGACGUUAUAUAAAGAACUGAAUUC
rnacentral:sRNA from 1 species